rnacentral:rRNA from 1 species
AGUGAACGCUGGCGGUAGGCCUAACACAUGCAAGUCGAACGGCAGCACAGAGGAGCUUGCUCCUUGGGUGGCGAGUGGCGGACGGGUGAGGAAUACAUCGGAAUCUACUCUGUCGUGGGGGAUAACGUAGGGAAACUUACGCUAAUACCGCAUACGACCUACGGGUGAAAGCAGGGGAUCUUCGGACCUUGCGCGAUUGAAUGAGCCGAUGUCGGAUUAGCUAGUUGGCGGGGUAAAGGCCCACCAAGGCGACGAUCCGUAGCUGGUCUGAGAGGAUGAUCAGCCACACUGGAACUGAGACACGGCCCAGACUCCUACGGGAGGCAGCAGUGGGGAAUAUUGGACAAUGGGCGCAAGCCUGAUCCAGCCAUACCGCGUGGGUGAAGAAGGCCUUCGGGUUGUAAAGCCCUUUUGUUGGGAAAGAAAUCCAUCUGGUUAAUACCCGGAUGGGAUGGCGGUACCCAAAGAAUAAGCACCGGCUAACUUCGUGCCAGCCGCCGCAGUAA